CACAUCCAAUAUAUAUUAUAUUCUGUACAUAAAAUAUCAAAGUACACCAAAUAUAUAUUAUAUGCUGUACAUAAUAUAUUAAAGUUGCCCAUAUAUACAUUAUAUAGUGUACAUAAAAUAUGAACGUACAUCAAAUAUAUAGUAUAUGCUGCACAUAAAAUAUCAAAGUACCCAAAUUAUGUAUUAUAUACUGUACGUAAAAUAUCAGAGUACCCAAAAUAUGCAUUAUAUACUGUACAUAAAAUAUG
rnacentral:misc_RNA from 1 species